GCGGGAGGCUCUGUAAACAAUGCUGUGUGCUUCGUGUCCCUUUCAGACAAGGGCAAAGACAAAUGGCAUUUGUGGAGUAGGACUCUAUGGCAGCCACUAUGGCAGAUGACCGAUUUGUGGAGUGGCAAAUUCAAAUUCUCCCAGGAUAAGGCGGCAAUGUCAGUAUACGAGGCCCACCUAGUGGGGACAUAGGCAAACUUUCUCAGAUGGCCAUUGUUCAGCCUUAGAAGUUACCCACAAAUUCCACAUUAUCAGAUCUCCUCACUUGAGCUGCUGCAGGAAGAGCUCCACAGCAGGUCUACUGGCUCCUCGAAGCUACAGAAGGGAGCUGUGGUGCUGGCACCCUCGCUUUCUUGAGUUGUCUUAACAGAAUAAAGGGCAUGAACUUAACUAGUCUCUAAUAAACUGUGUGAUGGUAAAGUUUAUGAGUUAAGCUGACUGGGUUAAGGGAUGCCCAGCGAGCUGGUAAAACAUGACUUCUGGGUGUGUCUCUGAGGCUGUUUGCAGAAGAGAUUAGCAUUUGAGUCUGUAGACUGAGUAAAGAUUGCCCUCGCCAGUGCAGGUGGGCAUCACCAGAUCUAUUGAGGGCCCAAACAGAACAAAAAGGCUGAGGAACGGCGAGUUUGCUCUCUGCUUGAGCUGGGACACCGUCUUCUCCUGCCUUCCGGCAUCAGUGCUCCUCUGGCCUUCAGGUUUGGAUUGGAACUACACCACUGGCUUUCCUGGGCCUCCAGCUUGCAGACUUCUCAGCCUGCAUAAUCUCCUGAGCCAAUCUCUCAUAAUAAAUUUCCUUCUGUGUGUCUCUAUAUGUCCUAUUGGUUCUGUCCUCUGGAGAAACUUGAUGUAUGCGGGCUGUAUCCAUUAGCUUUUGCAAUAAUAUUGUUGCAAAACAAAACACU
ensembl:lncRNA